rnacentral:rRNA from 1 species
GGGCGUAAGAGCUCGUAGGCGGUUUGUCGCGUCUGCUGUGAAAUCCCGAGGCUCAACCUCGGGCCUGCAGUGGGUACGGGCAAACUAGAGUGUGGUAGGGGAGAUUGGAACUCCUGGUGUAGCGGUGGAAUGCGCAGAUAUCAGGAAGAACACCGAUGGCGAAGGCAGAUCUCUGGGCCAUUACUGACGCUGAGGAGCGAAAGCGUGGGGAGCGAACAGGAUUAGAUACCCUGGUAGUCCACGCCGUAAACGUUGGGAACUAGAUGUAGGGUCCAUUCCACGGAUUCUGUGUCGCAGCUAACGCAUUAAGUUCCCCGCCUGGGGAGUACGGCCGCAAGGCUAAAACUCAAAGGAAUUGACGGGGGCCCGCACAAGCGGCGGAGCACGCGGAUUAAUUCGAUGCAACGCGAAGAACCUUACCAAGGCUUGACAUAUACCGGAAAAGCGUAGAAAUACGCUCCCCGCAAGGUCGGUAUACAGGUGGUGCAUGGUUGUCGUCAGCUCGUGUCGUGAGAUGUUGAGUUAAGUCCCGCAACGAGCGCAACCCUCGUCCUAUGUUGCCAGCACGUAAUGGUGGGAACUCAUGGGAGACUGCCGGGGUCAACUCGGAGGAAGGUAAU